GGGGUUGUAGCUAAGUGGUAGAGCACUUGCCUUGCAUGCAUGAGACCCUGGGUUUGAUCCCCAGCACCACA
rnacentral:tRNA from 1 species